rnacentral:rRNA from 1 species
AUUGAACGCUGGCGGCAGGCCUAACACAUGCAAGUCGAGCGGAUGAAGGGAGCUUGCUCCUGGAUUCAGCGGCGGACGGGUGAGUAAUGCCUAGGAAUCUGCCUGGUAGUGGGGGAUAACGUCCGGAAACGGGCGCUAAUACCGCCUACGUCCUGAGGGAGAAAGUGGGGGAUCUUCGGACCUCACGCUAUCAGAUGAGCCUAGGUCGGAUUAGCUAGUUGGUGGGGUAAAGGCCUACUAAGGCGACGAUCCGUAACUGGUCUGAGAGGAGGAUCAGUCACACUGGAACUUAGACACGGUCCGGACGCCUGCGGGAGGCAGCAGUGGGGAAUAGUGGGCAAUGGGCGAAAACCUUAUCCAGCCAUGCCGCGUGUGUGAAGAAGGUCUUCGGAUUGUAAAGCACUUUAAGUUGUGAGGAAGGGCAGUAAGUUAAUACCUUGCUGUUUUGACGUUACCAACAGAAUAAGCACCGGCUAACUUCGUG